GAUGAAGAACGUAGCGAAAUGCGAUAAGUAAUGCGAAUUGCAGAAUUUCCGUGAGUCAUCGAAUCUUUGAACGCACAUUGCGCCCACUGGUAUUCCGGUGGGCAUGCCUGUUCGAGCGUCAUUAUUCUCCCUCAAACCCCGGGUUUGGUGUUGGACCGAAGUUGUGUGAACAACUGGUCUAAAAAACAAUGACGGCGUCCGUGGGACCCUCGGUGCAACGAGCUUUUAGGAGCACGCGCCGAGUUGCAAGGACCUUCCGGGCCGGUCUCCUUUUACUAUUUUACAAGGUUGACCUCGGAUCAGGUAGGAAUACCCGCUGAACUUAAGCAUAUCAAUAAGCGGAGGA
rnacentral:misc_RNA from 1 species